GCCGAGUCGUACACACGUCGGUUCGACGGACAGUUCGUGCGCAGCUGCCAAAAUUGCCAAAUCAUCAUCCGCACCGUUUCCUUUCCCCCACCUCCGCCGCUCCCGUCCCCUCCCCUCCGCGACCGAAACAAUGGCCGUCAUCCCUUCCAUCUGACGCUCCAAUCCAUGAGAACCCCCGCGCCACAAUCCGAUCUUGCCGCCCCAGGAUGUCCCUGCCCGACGUCGUGUACAGCUGUGGAUCCUGUGGAUAUGCUCUAAAUCUUUCAUCUUCUAACAGAAGCACAUCUGACGUAGGAUCCUCGUACCAAAAAUCUCUGAAGAAGGGUCUGAUUUCAUUCACUUCUAUUGAUCUCAGCCGUUUUACUCAGGUUGACGAGAUAUCUUGUUUUCCUUUCCUUACCUGGCGUAGCUACCGGCCGAAAACUAAGCUUCUGUGCCGAAAAUGUGGAUCAUCUAUUGGCUAUGGAUACGGUGAGCCACCUGUAUUGUGUAGCUUUGAUCCAGCAAGUUCUUCCUCUGGUACAUCCCAAAACUAUUUAAUAAAGAUCCAGGCUCUCCGACUUUCAGACGGUACUCAAUAAUUGGUCAAGUGUAGUCAGAAUAUGGAAAAGAAGAUGAUGGAUGACAGCAUAGAAGGCUGUAUCAGUUGCCUUUCUGAUGAUUGCCUGCUUUCUAUAUUUAACAAGCUUGAAAGUGAAUCGGACAGGAAUGCUUUUGGGUUAACUUGUAAGAAUUGGUUCAAGGUUCGAAACAUUGCUCGAAAAUCGCUAAUAUUUCAUUUCUCGUUUAAUGCUAAAGCAUACAAGGAGCAUGCCCAGUGCCUUCCAAAGAUGUUGGCUCGUUCUCCAUAUCUUCAGUUGAUAUCCCUUGCGGGGCUUAAUGAGCUAUCUGAUUCAGCUCUGUACGAAGUGGGAGUUUCUGGAACAUCUUUGCAGUCCUUCUCAUUGUACUCCUGUUCUGGUAUAACAGAUGAUGGUCUAGCACAAGUGUCAAUCGGAUGUCCUAAUUUGGUUAUAGUGGAACUUUACCGCUGCUUAAAUAUCACAGAUCUUGGUUUGGAAAGUCUUUCCCAGGGCUGUCAUUCUUUGAAGAGUCUUAACCUUGGUUACUGCACAGCCAUUUCAGAUCGAGGGAUUAGUUCAAUCUUUAGGAAUUGCCGAAACAUUUGUGCACUCAUCAUAUCAUAUUGCAGAGGUGUAUCCGGUGUUGGAUUUAGAGGUUGCCCAAGUACACUUUCUUACCUAGAAGCCGAGUCCUGCAUGCUUUCUUCAGAGGGAAUGCUAGACAUAUCGAGUGGUGGUGGACUCCAGUACAUAAAUUUGUAUAAUCUAAGGAGUUCAGCUGGGCUGGAUUGCCUAGGUGGAGUUGGCAGUAUGAAGAAACUCCGAGUUCUGAAUCUGAGGAUGUGCCGCUAUCUUACUGAUGAUUCUGUGGUGGCAAUAGCUAGUGGGUGUCCGUUGAUCGAGGAGUGGAGCCUUGCUGUCUGUCAUGGCGUCCGCUUACCUGGUUGGUCGGCGAUUGGAUUGAACUGCAACAAGCUAAGAAUUCUUCAUGUGAACCGUUGCCGAAACAUAUGUGACCAAGGAUUGCAUGCUCUCAAGGAUGGAUGUGUGCGCCUUGAGGUCCUGCAUAUACAUGGUUGUGGCAAGAUUACAAAUAAUGGCCUGGCACUAUUUAGCAUUGCUAGGCCCAGUGUGAAGCAAAUGGUGGACGAAGCCAUGUCCAUUGGCCCCUCAAUCGAGGAUUUAUUCCGGUUGCAGUGACCGGGAACUUGGAAAUUUUAGUUAGAAUUUCAAAGUUUUGACUUGAACAAGGUGCCAGCCCUUGUUGCCACCGUUGUGUUUGUCAUUACAGCAAGUGAUUGGUUCUUUGCCGUCACUGUGUGCAUUCUAUUUGUUCCGGUUCAUACUUAUUUGGUUGAUGAUGUAAAGGAUGUUGCCGAUAGAACCAUAACUAUACAAAUGAACUGUAAGAAGUCAGUUUGGUGCUAUCGUUAUCUGCAUGUCCCGGCUCUGGCUUAUGGCUGUGAAGUGUUCU
rnacentral:rRNA from 1 species